AUUGAACGCUGGCGGCAUGCUUUACACAUGCAAGUCGAACGGUAACAGGCCGCAAGGUGCUGACGAGUGGCGAACGGGUGAGUAAUGCAUCGGAACGUGCCCAGUCGUGGGGGAUAACGCAGCGAAAGCUGUGCUAAUACCGCAUACGAUCUAUGGAUGAAAGCGGGGGACCGUAAGGCCUCGCGCGAUUGGAUCUGCCGAUGUCAGAUUAGGUAGUUGGUGGGGUAAAGGCUCACCAAGCCAACGAUCUGUAGCUGGUCUGAGAGGACGACCAGCCACACUGGGACUGAGACACGGCCCAGACUCCUACGGGAGGCAGCAGUGGGGAAUUUUGGACAAUGGGCGAAAGCCUGAUCCAGCAAUGCCGCGUGCAGGAAGAAGGCCUUCGGGUUGUAAACUGCUUUUGUACGGAACGAAAAGGUCUGGGUUAAUACCCUGGGCUGAUGACGGUACCGUAAGAAUAAGCACCGGCUAACUACGUGCCAGCCGCCGCUGUAAAAC
rnacentral:rRNA from 1 species